UACGAAGGGGGCUAGCGUUGUUCGGAAUUACUGGGCGUAAAGCGCACGUAGGCGGAUCGAUCAGUCAGGGGUGAAAUCCCAGGGCUCAACCCUGGAACUGCCUUUGAUACUGUCGAUCUGGAGUAUGGAAGAGGUGAGUGGAAUUCCGAGUGUAGAGGUGAAAUUCGUAGAUAUUCGGAGGAACACCAGUGGCGAAGGCGGCAUCCUGGACCAACACUGACGCUGAGGAGCGAAAGCCAGGGGAGCAAACGGG
rnacentral:rRNA from 1 species